GUCAAUAUGGAAAAAUUCCCAACCCUUGUAUUAAUUUCGAAAACAUACAAAGGACCCUCACUUUUCUAUGAACACAAUCCGCUCACAGCCCACUUUUGAGAAAGAACACAAGCCGUUCUUGGCCAACACUAAGACCUGCCCAAGCCUAGCCUUAGUUCCCUUUGAAAUACUUUGAAACCCUCACGUUUUACUCUUGUUUCCCACUUAUAAUUUCACACGAAAUUACCCACAUACCUCUGACUAAGUUCCAAAGGCCCUAUUUAUAGAACAUAGGCAGCCCUUAGACUUGACAGCACAAUGACACUUGUUGUCUACAACUUUUUCCACUUGUUGGCCUAAGGCUAAAUCUGAUCCUAACAAGUAGUUGAAAUCCCCAACUACAUAGGACAUGAUAUACACGAAAUGGAUAAUGCGUACAAGCAUAAUCAGUCAUGGGACAAAUAGGUUAUGACAAGGUAACCGCCAAAACUGCUUUUCAUGUGCAUUGCAUGUGCCAUCUUCACUUGGCCAGCUGAAUUUCGCCCAAGGCUUGAUUUGUGCCAAGCCUUAGCUCAAUUUGACAUUGCUCCACGCCAAUGUCUUGCCCGCAACCCAUUCCAUGAUUUUGCCGCACACGCCCGACGCCGCUGCCGCCCGCGCACUGCCUUGGCCUAGUUUCUGCCUUGCCCAUGUCAACCUUCAUUUCCCUCAUGCCAUUGAUUGUCUUUUCCUUCACAUAGCCUUGCCUUAGCUAUAGAAAGUCUUUUCCAUCAUCCCGCAUUCCCGCUUUGCCUUAGCUUAGCCCGCACUUAGCUGCCACAACCCAAAGUGCCAUGCCAUUGACUUUGGCGUGCAUGCCAUGCCAUGCCGCCCUAACAUUGCCCAGGCAGCUUUGUCAAGCCUUUGCCAAGCGCGCCUUGCAUGUCCCAAGGCCUUGGCCAAUACUUGUUCACAACAGCCCUCAAUGACAAUAUCACGUCUGUCGCCCGCAUGAUCGUUUUGCCCGCACAUAGGCCAAUGACAAAGCCAUCAUGCCCACAACAACCGAUGGCAAUGGGCAAUGUACUGAGCUUCGCCCCAUGCGCAUGGCACCUUGUGGCGCUAGUUGCACGACGCUUCACCAUUUCAUUGCCAAAAGCCAUCAACUGCAAAAUGGAUCUGUAACUUUGGGAAAAGGAUUGGCUCUGAGGGAUGGGCACGGGGGUCCCAGUCCCGAACCCGUCGGCUAUCGGCGGACUGCUCGAGCUACUCCUGCGACGAGAGCGGGUCGCCACGUGCCGGCUGGGGGACGGAUUGGGAACGAUUCCUUCGGGGGCCUUCCCCGGGCGUCGAACAGCCAACUCAGAACUGGUACGGACAAGGGGAAUCCGACUAUUUAAUUAAAACAAAGCAUUGCGAUAGUCCCUGCGGAUGUUUAUGCAAUGUGAUUUUUGCCCAGUGCUCUGAAUGUCAAAGUGAAGAAAUUCAACCAAGCGCGGGGAAACGGCGGGAGUAACUAGGACUCUCUUAAGGUAGCUAAAUGACUCGUCAUCUAAUUAGUGACGCGCAUGAAUGGAUUAACGAGAUUCCCACUGUCCCUGUCUACUAUCCAGCAAAACCACAGCCAAGGGAACGAGCUUGGCAGAAUCAGCGGGGAAAGAAGACCCUGUUGAGCUUGACUCUAGUCCGACUUUGUGAAAUGACUUGAGAGGUGUAGUAUAAGUGGGAGCCGAAAGGCGAAAGUGAAAUACCACUACUUUUAACAUUAUUUUACUUAUUCCGUGAAUCGGAAGCGGGGCACUACCCCUCUUUUUGGACCCAAGGCUUGCUCGCAGGACGAUCCGGGCGGAAGACAUUGUCAGAUAGGGAGUUUGGCUGGGGCAGCACAUUUGUUUAAAGAUAACGUAGGUGUCCUAAGAUGAGCUCAACGAGAACAGAAAUCUCUAAUGGAACAGAAGGGUAAAAGCUCGUUUGAUUCUAAUUUCCAAUACGAAUACAAACCGUGAAAGCGUGGCCUAACAAUCCUUUAGACCUUCGAAAUUUGAAGCUAGAGGUGUCAGAAAAGUUACCACGGGGAUAACUGGCUUGUGGCAGCCAAGCGUUCAUAGCGAUGUUGCUUUUUGAUCCUUUGAUGUCGGCUCUUCCUAUCAUUGUGAAGCAGAAUUCACCAAGUGUUGGAUUGUUCACCCACCAAUAGGGAACAUGAGCUGGGUUUAGCCUGUCGUGAGACAGGUUAGUUUUACCCUACUGAUGACAGUGUCGCAAUAGUAAUUCAACCUAGUACAAGAGGAACUAUUGAUUCGCAUAAUUGGUCAUCGUGCUUGGUUGAAAAGCAAGUGGCGCGAAGCUACCGUGCACUGGAUUAUGACUGAACACCUCUAAGUUAGAAACUGGGCUAGAAGCGAUGCAUGCGCCCGCCGUCUGCUUGCCGACCGGCAGUAGGGGCCUCUGGCCCCUAGGGGCACGUGUCAUUGGCUAAGUCAUCGCGGCGGAAGAGCCGCGAUGGCCGCCUUGAAGUACAAUUUCCAUCGAGCGGCGGGUAUAAUUCUUUGCAGACGACUUAAAUACGUGACGGGGUAUUGUAAGUGGCAGAGUGGCCUUGCUGCCACAAUCCACUGAGAUUCAGCCCUUUGUUGCUCCGAUUCGUCCCUCCCCCUUCA
rnacentral:rRNA from 1 species